GACUAAGCGUACACGGUGGAUGCCUUGGCAGUCAGAGGCGAUGAAGGACGUAUUAACUUGCGAUAAGCCCAGAUUAGGCAGUAAAAGCCACUUGAGUCUGGGAUUUCCGAAUGGGGAAACCCAACUGCAUAAGCAGUUACUGUUAACUGAAUACAUAGGUUAACAGGGCGAACCGGGGGAACUGAAACAUCUAAGUACCCCGAGGAAAAGA
rnacentral:rRNA from 1 species